UAGGGUGUGGCAAGUUUAUUAUUGAUCCAUGGCGCUCACCGACACGUACUUCAGUUUCAAUUUUAUAGCUCUUAGAAAAGAAAAUUACGAGUCUCGCCUACCGACCGAGUUUUAUCGACGCUUAGUCGACAUUCUUGCAUUCUGAAGACAAAAGUAUUGCAGACAAUGUUUUCAGCUCCUACGAUGGAUGUAUACAAAAGAAAUUUUGUGAGGUCCGUUCUAAUGUCCAGUUACGUAUAGGUUUCAAGACCGGCAGAUGGGUGUCAAGAUAAAUUGUGUAUUUGAAAUGAAAAAAAAAAUCCCAGAUUCUAAUCCUUGUCCAAUCCUGAGUCAUCGGUGGCCGAAAUCAAUAAAAACAUAUGAAUUAACAAAAGCAACGAUUCCCUAAUGUUAAUUAGUACGUGCAUUUAGGCCGUUGUAGCAACACACCGGUUUUAAAUGACGUCUUUCACUUUAGAUCGAAUCUUUUGCUUAUCUACGUCUACCAACAUUCAAUUACGUAAAUUUUUAGCUGUCAACUAUCGGUUUAAAAAAAUACGUUUCAUCCUUUGGUCACUCUAAAACCAGAUUUUUCAUUGCAUACGGUACCCACCUAGUACUAAACGGAUACAGGAGCCCUCCCGCCUUCCGCUACCCACCCUGAGACAUCAUGUCUGAGGCUGUCCCGACCUUCGAAUCUGAACACAUCCUACCCGUACGGGCUCACUAGACGUCCUACUACAAGUGAACCGGUGCUGGCUUUUUAUUUGUCACCGUAGGAAUCGUUGCCAAAACAUCCGUCCUAAAUAAUUUGCCGUACUAGUGGCAUAGUUUUAUGACCAACUCAAUGUUUCAAAAUAAUGCAUACUUACUUGUAGAUUUUUAUAUGAACUUCGUUUAGUUAGGGGUGUAAGUGGCUCUUCCUAGACCUCCUGAGCCAAAGUCAACCUCUCCUGCCCGCGGCGCACCCUGCCGACUAGCGAACGAGGCUCUGGCGGAGACGCGGCGGAGACUCAGCUCCGCGUGUCACUCGUGCUCAACAAUAACAACAAGCCGAGUGCACCAUCACGUCUCUAGUUUAUUACUUAUUUUUUAUGUAUCGGUUAGGUCUGUCCAGGUCAUGCGAACGACGAAUAAUACUUCAAUGAUACUGAUUAGUUUUAAGUCUUAUAAUCUCUUAUUUAAUUAUAAUAUAUUGGAGCAGCUACGUUAGUCAUGUAGGUCUCAGGAUUAAGAAUAUAAUAUGUACUUUGGUAAAAUUAGCGUAAUACUGCUAUUGGUGUGAAUUAUUCCAUAAUCUCUAGUUGUAAACCGUUUUCAAUUACAGUGUGACACGUACAUUUAGUUACAAUAUAAUGACAUAUUUAAUCGUUCUAGUAUUAUAUUCCAAUCAAUUAAAUUAAUUCAUCUUAUAAAUUUUAUUCAAUAUCUUUGUGUGUAUUUAAUCUAAGAACAAGUAAACUGAGGUGUCGUA